UCUUAGAUGACUGAGAUUUAAGUGUUAGAUUUUUAAUCUAAAAACGGCAAAAAUGCCUCUAAGAA
rnacentral:tRNA from 1 species